rnacentral:rRNA from 1 species
GACGAACGCUGGCGGCGUGCUUAACACAUGCAAGUCGAACGGAAAGGCCCUGCUCUUGCGGGUCGCUCGAUUGGCGAACGGGUGAGUAACACGCGAGUAACCUGCCCCUGACUUUGUGAUAACUUCUGGAAACUGGGGCUAAUACCGGAUAGGAGCUCCUGCUCCAUGGUGGGGGUUGGAAAGUUUCGGCGGUUGGGGAUGGACUCGCGGCUUAUCAGCUUGUUAGUGGGGUAGUUGUUUACCAAGGCUGUGAGGGGUAGCCGGCCUGAGAGGGUGACCGGGCACAUGGCGACUAAGAGACGCCGCAGUAGCGUACGUGAGGCAGCAGUGGGGAGUCUGGCGCAACGGGGGGGAGCGUGAUACGGAAGUGUUGGGUGCGGGAUGACGUCCUACGGGUGGUGAACCGAUUUCGCCUGUGACGAAGCGUGAGUGACGGUAAUGGGUAAGGAAGCACCGGCUAACUACGUG